rnacentral:lncRNA from 1 species
UCUAGACUAGUUUCUACAUCAAUAAGAUGUUCAUCCGAAUAGGAGAUAGUAACUGAAGGUUCAUCCAUAUAAAAAAGGGUUAGACCGCCACUUCGAUCUCUCGGUUCAACAGUGAAAACAUGAUCAUAUCCAAAAUGAACUUGCAUGUCUUGCAGAAAGUAACGCUUAUUUUUGGUCUCCGACAAAAAUAGAAAUUUCGGUUGAAAACAUUUGUAAAGUUCUUCCAAAUGAUCUUUUGUCAAAUCCGAACCAGCUCCUUGACAAUUCCACCCGAUGUCGUUCAUUUGCAAUAUGAUUUUAAAUUAUCAGAUCCAUACAAGCCCAAUGGCUAACAUUAAAAUCUUGGGUUUAGCCCAGAAUUGAAAUUAGACCCGCUAAUUUGCUUGCCCAGUAAACAAUAACUAUUAGGUCAAAAACAAAAGAUCACCGUCGCCGCUGAAGUGUCUCCGAUGAACAGUAACCACCGCCGCCGUUGUUGUCUGAAAGAUGGUGAACUCUGUAGAUCUGACGUUUUAGAAGCUAUCUUGAGCUUUGCCGUCGUCGAAGGAGAACCACGAAGACACCAUUGGAGAUAUUAGAUAGAUCUCAAAGCUUCCCACAACAAAAAAUUUGAAAAUUAUGUAACAGAUGAAAGUCUUAGCACUAGGCUAGAUGCAGAAAAACAAAUGUUAUAUAAUUUAUUGUUGUCGAUGGAAGAAGAAGAAGAAGGAGGUGGAGAGAAACACAAACACUGAAAUUGGAGUUCGCCACGUCACGACGAUACUGUAUCGUCAGGAUCGUCGGGAAGAGACAGUAUCGUCGAAAUUAACCCAUUUUCUUUUUUUUUAAUUGGGUUUUGCCUAUGAUUCUGGGCCUGAACCCGGCUUGAUAUUCUAAUGGACGUGCUCUAAGUGGUAGUGUUCAAUUCCUAGAGAAUGCAAAUUAAAAAAUGAGAUCAAAGUUUCUGGAGAUUUCCAAGCGAUGCAAGCACAGCCAAUCGUCGUGGUUCAGCAUGUCAAGGGUAAAGUGUUCCAUUAUGAGCAUGGUGCAUGUAGAUUGUUGAUCGUGGAUAUUUAUAAGAUGGUAGAAUUGUCUGUUAUAAAAUCGAUUAUAUAACUAUUUUUUAUAAUUUAUAAUUGAUUAUUUUUUAGAUGAUUCAAAAAAAAGAUUUGGAAAUUUUUAUGGAGAAAAAAUAGAUGCUGAAUGAAAAUAGAAUUUUUUUUAAAAGGCAUUAAACUUACAUUCUCUGUAAGAAAUCUGCAUAAAUGCAAGACACUUAUAGUAUGCGAAAACUAUUAUACACCGUAUAUAGAGUAUACGAAUAACCCCUUUUGCUAUUUAAAAAUUUUUCAGUCGUCAAUUUUUUUAAUCAAAAGAAAACUCAUAAUUCGAUUAUAUAACGAAAGUAACUUUCUCUACCUUGCUUUAAGAUAAAGCUGACGCAUAAAACAGAUGAAGUAUACAGUAUUCUAAAAUGAUUUUUAAUGGUUUAUUAAAAUAUUUUAAUUAAAUUAAUUAAUGAGUUAUAUAUAACCUUUAGUAUAUAUUUAUUAAACCUAGUAAAUUAUGCACGGGUUAAAAAAUAUGCUCAUCUUUUUAAUGUAAUUUAUCAGAAAAUAUGUCAUUUGCCACUGUAAUAAAAAUCAAAAGAAAUUUAAAAUAAUAACAAAUGUACUUGAAACUCUUUGUCAGAUACUCCUUCUAUACAUCGAAUUUGGACAUCCUGAAUUCUUGAUAAUUAUAAAAGGAAGAAAAAAAAAAAAAAGAUAAAAUGGAAAAGAAGGAGAGAAAGACAAAAAACAAAUAAGUUUAAUUACAUCAUAAAAAUCAUUGAGAUCGAUCUAGUGUUCAAUUUGUUUGUCGCUCUAUUCAUCUUUUCUUUUCUCCCAAAAACUAAACCAUAGAAGCAACAAAUCUCAAAGCCAAUUUCUAAAUCCUUUUGAAAGAUACAGAGAGAAACGAUGAAUAGAGGAGUGUUAGAGAGUUCGCCGGUACAACACCUCACGGCGGCUGAAAACCCUAACUGGUGGAAUAAAGUAAGCGGUGGCUUGAUGAGACCACCGUCGCAGCAGCCGCCUUCUACCACCUACUCUCUUCUGGACCCUUAUAUUGUUGUUAUGAUACUCUUGGCUUGCAGGGGGAUGCCCAAAAGCCUACCACCCUUCUUGUGUAGAUCGAGAUGAACUAAUCAAUUAUAUAACAGUAGCAAAAUCAUUUUGCUACUGUUAUAUAAUUUAUUGUUGUCGAUGGAAGAAGAAGAAGGAGGUGGAGAGAAACACAAACACUGAAAUUGGAGUUCGCCACGUCACGACGAUACUGUAUCGUCAGGAUCGUCGGGAAGAGACAGUAUCGUCGAAAUUAACCCAUUUUCUUUUUUUUUAAUUGGGUUUUGCCUAUGAUUCUGGGCCUGAACCCGGUGGAUGUGGUCGAAAGAGCCCUACAUUCAACACAAAGUGUUAGCAAAGAGUUGGUGAGGAUACAAAGAUGAGAGAACACAACAAACUGAACUAAAAAACAAAGUAAUAUACAUAAAUAACUAACCUCAUUAAUCCAUUCCAGGCAAGCAUAAUACUUGCGACCGGCGGUGUUUUCUUUGAGCUUCACAUCCCUGCUGCAGAAGCACUUCUCCGGUAUGCCAUAAGUGGCAUCCGCGUAAGCCCAGUAAGGAACCUCUGAACCUUCUUCAGAUGAACCGCUGUUGUAGCUUGGCAUGAUCUGCCACAAAACAAUAUGAUCAGCAAAACGAUAUGAACUCACACGAUUACAAUAUGAUAUGAACUUAUGCAAUAUGAUCAUAUCAUCUACUAAUAUAUAGCAAGCAACAAAUGAUUUAGAAGCCAAUCAUAUAACCAAAAUGAACUCACACGAUUAACCAUUUCAACUCACAUAAGCGAUUAACCAGUUCAGUUCAGAUUCGAUAAUGCCAUACUUAAUUUCAAUAGGAUCAUAUCAUAUACUCAUAUAAAUCAACCAACAAAUGAAUUAAAAAGGCAACCAUAUUAACUCACACGAUAUCCUAAACAAAUAAUCAUCUCCGCAAAUGGCUUUUAACAUACACACGAAUCUUGAUAAUGUAUCGAGAGUGACCCAGUUUGAAUACCAACACAAACCCCCAAAUAAACCCCCGAGAUAGAAAAAACUUAUUUCAUCGCAACAAUAUUAAGAUUUUCAAUCUUAAAACCAUGAAAUCGUAUUCGAAAUAAGGAUAUGACGGUUUUAAAUGAACGAAUUAGACGCCAAUUGCAAUCCCAAAUGAAAGCCCCAAAAUUUGUAAACAAUUUCGAAAACCCUAAUUUCAACGAAUCUAUUUGUUUCAUAUCUCCCAAAUUUGUGCCGCAUACUAGAUUUGGGGUACCAAAGACGAGACUCGAACCUCUAAUUCACCGAAAUCGAACAAAAAAAACCCUGAUUUCAAUCCGAUUUUUUUUCUCCAAAAAUCACAAACCCUAGAAUCCCGAAAUCGAAAUCAACAAUUAAAACUACAAAGAAUCGAAGCUUACCAGGACUAUGGGGACGGAAUGUCGAUGUUUGGAUUGCACCUCCACCGGGAUUAAUCGACGGAACCGGCGGUGACGAUGGAAUCGCCCUGAAUCGCCAAAGAACACGAAGGAGAGAAGAAAAAAUCAGGGAAAGAGAAAAUGAAUUGUUUCCGCGUUUUUUUUUCCCCAAAAUGAUGCGUUUUUCACAGCCAAUCGCCUUACGCCACGUGGUUCGCAUGUGGAGUCUUCAAGUUCGACGGGAUGAACCGAUACUUCCGAGUUGGGCCAUUUUUCUUUUUUUUUUUAAACCUAAAAUCUUAUGAUUUUGUGCCCAAAAUUGUGGAAGACCCUCUAAUGGACCUGGUCUUAUGUGUUGUAGUUAGUUUUAGAUGUUUUCUUUUUUUUUCCAUAGAAUUAUAAAGUUAAAAAAAUCAUAUAAUAAUAAAAACUGUCUGUAAAAAAUUAUAGUUUUAAGAAAAUCAUUUUAAAAAAAACACUUGAUUAAGUGUUUAAACGAAUUUUUGAAAAUAAAACUAAAAAAUCAGCUAAACUAAAAAUGAUCAAAUGAGUUUUAAGAAAAAAUAAAUUAAAAUUCAUCUAAAAUUCUUCUUUAGCCAUAAUAAGUUUUUGUUUUUGUAAUGUUUUUGUUACAUUUUUGAUUGAGUGUUAGAAUUACUAGGGAAUUUUUGCGAAUAAAAGAACAUUGGAGGCCAAAGCCGUUAUUUUUAAGCAGUGCUUCUCUGUUUUUGUGCAGACACGAGUGACUGUGAACGUGUUAGUUUCCAAGUGGUUCAUCUUUCGUAUACAAUUUUGUAGUAUUUGUUUUUUUUUAUUUUUAUUUUAAAACAAAACAAUUUCCUUUUUUGCGGCGAUCGGACGGUGAAAGGACGCCUAAACUUCAAACCUUAUGAAUAGUAAUCGUUGGAUCAGAGUAUUUUUAACAACAACCGUACGAUCAAAAUUUUCUCUCAAAUCUAUCCGUCUAAUAUAAUCGAGAAAUUGAAAUUUCAAAAGAUGUAUAAGAGAGGGAGGAGAGAAUCUCUCUCUCUCGCUCGAAGAGGAAGAGGAAGAGGAAGAAGAAGAACUCAAAAGUAUCAGUCUUUUCUUUUUUCCGCUGUUGUAUCAAAUUUCUCUCUCCUCCUUCUUCGAGCUAAAACCCUUUAAACCCCUAAUUUCCUCUAUCUCUAUAUCAUUCGGUUCAAAAUUCGAAUUCAAAUUGCCGUUUGAGUUUUCGUAGACGCCGAUUCGGCUCGUGGGGUUUCGCAUACGGGAGGGAUUAAGAUUGGAUUUUGGAUCUUCAAUUUCUCGUGUUUAUUUUGAAUUUGUGUUUAUCUGGGGUUUCGUUGAUAAUCAAUCGUGAGCUUGUGGGGAAAAAGUUUCUGGGUUUCUUCAGACACUGAGAAAUUCGAAAUUCGAAUUCUUCUUUAGAAUGGGAGAAGGAGUCGAAUUCCCGCCAAAAAAAGAGGUUCCAGAUUCAGAAGAGUCUGAUAUUCCGACGAAGAAGUCGGCGAGGCAACUCGACUUCACUGGUGGCUCCGGCUCCGAUGUGGAGCCUUCACAGUCUAAUAAAACCUCAGCUGCAUCAAUCUCUUCAACAGCGACGGUGGUUACUCCGAUUCCACUGUCAGAAUCUCACGCCCAAAUCAGGCUUCCGUAAGUUUCAGAAUUGGGCCCUUUUUUACAAUCAGAGAUGUGAUUUUGAUUGUUCUACGUAGCUCAAGUGAGAUGUUGGGGUUUGAAGCAUGGAUCUUUAUACAGAUUUUGAUGAUUUGAGUAUCUAAGGGUUUUAAAAUAAAAUCCAAAGCUGACACUUUGUUUCUACUUGGCAGGAAAACCGAAUCUCCGAAAUCUAAGCCGAGGCCUGUAGAUGGAACCCCUCAGAAGAAAAAACACUGCAACUGUAAACACUCACGGUGCUUGAAGCUGUAAGUAUGCGAAACAUUGUCUCCAUCAACUCUUUGUAAUGCUUGAACUCUUUAUAAACUUAACAUUCUGCAAUGUUCCUUUUUUUUUGGGUCAGGUAUUGUGAAUGCUUUGCUUCCGGCGCCUACUGUGAUGGUUGCAACUGUAUCAAUUGUUUCAACAACGUUGAAAGCGAACCCGCGAGACGAGAAGCAGUUGAAUCAACUCUGGAACGGAAUCCAAAUGCGUUCAGGCCUAAAAUCGCUAGCAGUGACGCACGAGAUAACAGGGUAUAUAUAUUGUGUGAUGCUCUUUGAACUGUUGGGUUUUGUGCUUCUUAGGCAAGUCUUUUUAGAAAAAAAAUUUUAACUCAAAGUUUUUUGCAGGAGGAGGUUGGUGGAGUUGUGAUGUUAGGGAAACACCACAAAGGCUGUCACUGCAAGAAAUCGGGAUGUCUUAAAAAGUAUUGCGAGUGCUUUCAGGCAAACAUUCUUUGUUCUGACAACUGUAAAUGCUUGGGUUGCAAAAACUUUGAAGGAAGUGAAGACAGGCUAGCUCUCUUUCACGGUGAACAUUCCCACAACGUGGCUUAUCUCCAACACGCAAAUGCUGCCAUAACUGGAGCUAUAGGUUCCUCUGGCUUUGCAUCUUCUCCAGCUCCCAAGAGAAAGAAAGAUCAGGACUUUUUUUUCACCCAACCAACCAAAGAUUCAUCUAAUCAUAGGCUUGGCCAGGUAAAUCAGUCACGCAAAGUUUACUUGCUUGGCCGUCUUGUUAAUAUUCUAUAUGCUUUCCUUAUCUGUUCCCUUGGUUAAGAAAAUGAGAGAUGUUAAUAGUAUAAUUAUUGGUAUCAGGCAAAUAGUGUAAGAAUGACAUCUUCGAAACCUGUUUCUCGUCGUGGAGGCAAUGCGUCGUUAGGCCCAUCCAAAGUUUUAUAUAGGUAAAAAAUGCCUGAUUUGUUUUUCCAAGCUAAAUCUGAUCUAGAGAUCGCAGAAACUGAGUUAUACAUUUUGUUUUUUUUCUCUUUCGAAGGUCUCUCUUGGCAGACAUAAUUCAACCACAAGAUGUGAAAGCACUUUGUUCUGUUCUGGUUUCUGUAGCUGGUGAAGUAGCAGAAAAGCGGUUGGAAGAUAAGACAGAAACUUCCUUGGCUUCUUCUGCAAAAGACAAUAAUAAAGGUACCGAGGCCGAGAGAGAGGCUAGCGGAAAUCAAGCUGAUAAAUCUGGUGCUGAGGAAUCCAAUUCAGAUGGCUCUAAAAGCAGAGACCUGUCUCCAGAAACUUUGGCAUUGAUGUGUGAUGAACAAGACACUAUGUUAAUGGUUGCAGCAUCACCUAAAUGUUUGGUGGAGUCCUCCUCGCAGCUACCAAACGGGCAAGACCAGGUUUAUUCAGAGCAGGAGAAAGUAGUAUUAACCAAGUUCCGUGACUGCCUUAACCGAAUAAUCUCCUACGGAGAAUUUAAAGGUUUCCGUUUCUUAUAUCUUGAAUAGAAGUGGAGUAUGGCCAAACACAAGAAUGGUAUUCUAAAAGCUUAGUUUGUUUUUGUUUAUUUGUUGCAGAAUCAAACUGUUCUUUGUCAAGAAUGGAUCUUGACUCACCUGUACAAACCGCUGUGAAAAUCGAGCCAGUGGUUCAAGAAGGAGCAGUCGCGAAUGGAGUUUCACAAACCACGAAACAACAACCUUCUCAGCUAACCUCCUCACACGCUCAAAUUCAACAACCUCAAGCUCUCUCUGAGAAGAAAGACCAAUGAGUCAUUAAUAUUUACUCCUAACUUUACAGAGAGCAAGCAACAAUGCAGCUGAAUCUGCGUCGCCAUACUUGAUUGAUUUAUGAGGUAACGCCACCAACUUUGGCAGGUGAUUACAGAGUAUUAUCAUACAACAACUAUUCACAAAGAUUGUAUUAUUAGGCUUUCUUCUUUCUUCCAUUCACAUUCUUCCUUUUGAUUCAUUAUUGUUUGUUUACGAAUUGUUAUCAUUAUUUGUGUACAUUGCCACAUAGUCCACUCGACGAUUUUACUUAGAAAUAUAUAUAUUUUUUUAAGUUUACAUUUGAGAGAACACAACAAGAAUGUUAUUGGAAUGUUCAAACAGCUACCAUUUCGAGUCACAUCCGCAACAACAAUGAGAAAGCUUUGAUAGUUUCUGCAUUCGCAAAAAAAUAGAUAUGUCGAUGACUGAUUUUGAUAUAUUCAUCUUCUAGGAACUAGAGAAAAUUUGAUGUCACUUGUGUUUAAUAUUUGAGGAAUAAGUAAACCAAAUCAGGUUUUUGGUUUUUUUUUUUUUUCUAACGGUAUAUAUAUAUAUAUAUAACUCUCAAUGGUUUUUCAAGAAAAUAAAGAUUCAUAUCUAAGAAGGGAGAGACCUAGCUUACAUUAUGCACUUUUGUAAACACAAAUGGAAUGUUACAACAAUGUCGAAAUUGAAGACUGAAGAGACACACUCAUCCUCAUACACUUUUGUAAACCAGAAAGUCUUCUUCUGAAGGAAACUAUAUGCUUGUAGAUCUGUCGAUCGAGGCCAACGGUUUAUCUAGCGUCGAUAGAAUUUGCGGCAUUGACAUUCCACCCGAAACAACAAUCUCUGCAGAAGAUCAAUGGAUAUAAAAGCUCAGUAGCUUUCUUCAAAAUAACUCAGAAUGCAAUUCACCAAAACAUGAUGUAUCUAGGACCAUGACAGGAUUUAGAUUAUGAUAAAAGGCUUUGUGAUCUCACCUAUUCCUUCCCGGACAGAGAGAUUUGGCCUGAUAACAUCAUUGCUGUUGACAAGUAGUAUAUCCCCAAUGUAAAGGUGAUUCGUGGGAACGUAAACACAGCAAAGUUCCUCUUCGGUUGGGUAAUUCUGCAAGGACAAAAGAGCAUUAUUACAUUUGGUAAGCAAUAAUCAUAAUAAAUAAUGCCUGGAAAAACUGUGUCUACACUUUGUAUCCUUUAAGGAGAAGUUCAGGAAGCAAUAACUAAAUCCUUGUACUUUGAAGCGUUUUCACUCACCUGAAGAACAACAGUUGAUGUAAUAAACCCAAAUGCGUAUUCGCCUAUACGUGGAUGCCUGAUGAUUGCAACUUCCUUGAAAGCUUGUGUAUUUUGAUCUGGCAAAAGGUGGAUAAGAACAAAUUGAGGUUCGAAAAUUCAAUCAACCAACAAAUAAUGAGGAUUAUUUCUUUCUUUCUUUUUUUAAGCGAGACCAGGAGAUAUGGCAGUGCUGAUUUGCUUGGAGGCAUUGUAGAUGUGACGAACAAAUGGCAUCCGCUUGAUAAACCACUCCCCAAGGUUCAAAACCGAUGCCCCCAACCACGAGGACAUGAACACCCCGACCAAGAAGAUGAAUGCAAUGGACGUCAAAAAACCAAAACCUACAAAAACCAAAAUCAGACUCAUGUGAGAAACCGAAACCAGAUCGUUGAUUCGAUCAAGAAGGGACACCACACACAAUAGUGCUUACCAAAUAUGUUGAUUCCAAGUUGCGCAUAUAUCGGAGAGAAGAAUCCAUCAACAAAGUGAAUAAACCACCAUGUUAUAUAGAAAGUAAUUGCAAUAGGAAGUAGGAUAACACUGCAAAGAAAAUAAAAGCAACUUGAGGCUAGAAUUCACCAAGACAAGAUGUUUGAAUCUUUGAUAACUUCAUCAAAUACCAAAAUUACAACUCUUGGCUUAUGAGAUGCUUACCAGCCAGUCAUGAACUUCUUCGACGCCCAACCCCUAAUGAACAAGCUUAAAGUCUGCAGAAAGUAUAGCUAAAACAUUACACCAGGCUGAUCUGUGUGUAUAUGCUUGAAUGAGAAUGAACAUAACAAAAAGACUCAGAGAAUCAUUUGGAAUGCAAAUUCAUACUCUACACAAUCAGAACGUGUCACAUUACUAUGUAAGCAACCAAGAUCAGUGUUUUGCUUGGUUAACACAUUUUAUCUAAGUAAGUGUUGUUAUGAUAAGAUGGAAUCUAGGGCAAAACAAUUUCUCAGGAUAUGAACAGAAUCAACACUAUACUCGGAAAGGAACUCCGAGCUUAAAAUCAAUCGAAUUCCACUUUUAAUUUCGCAUUGAAUCUUGACAAUGAGCUAAACGAAGAACAGUUUAGCUUUCUAGAUCAGGAGGAAAAAGGUGAAAGAGAAAAUAAACCUCGUGGCUAGCUUGAUGCGGAGAAGAAGAGGAAGAGGAAGACGGCUUCGAAGUUGAACCGUCGUCUUUUUCGCCGGAAUCAGCGACGGGAAUCAGAAGCUCUCGAUCUCUUUCUCGGUUGGCCAUCACAAUCGGUGGAUUUUCGUCUCCCAUCGCCAGUAUCUCCGAGAAACAGAGGCGAUAAAGAAAUCAAACCCUCUCGGAGAAGAGAGAAGUGCCGGUGAACUCCGGGCAGAGAUUUGAACGGCGGUGAGGAAAAAACCCCCAAAAAGAUGAGACUUUUCACCGGCGACUGCUCUUUCUGUGCACAAGAAAUGGUUAAAGCUACCUUGAACUUCGAAGCUCUCUGUCGUUUUACGAUUUUCUUUUUGUAUUUGUUUUUGUUUUCUCUCUUUUUUUUUAUUACAUUAUUAUUACUUACUUCGUUAAUAUAUAAUUUUUUUGAUACUAAUUAAUUCCCUAGAUUUUGUAAUAAAAAGUGACAAUAAAAUUGAUUAAUCAAAAUAUGCAUUGUCCAAAUUAAGCUGUGAAGUUCUAUAUGGAACAUCAACAUGUCAACUGUAUUAUCUUCUUCAAAAAUUAUUUGCUAGUUUGUGGUAUCAGAUGCCAAAACUCAAUUACAUUUAUAAUUUAAGCCAUAUAAUUAUUAUUUUACUUGAAUUGCAUGUGCUUUACAGGAUAAUAUUCUAUAAUAGCUUUUAAAUUUUACAAAGGCAAAUAAAUCCAGAUAUUUCAUCAUUCGAUGUUGGAUUUACGCAUAAUCCUCCUUUAAAAAAAUUUUGAUCGAUGCAUUUUUUGUUGCAGUUUUCUAUUUUCCACAUGGAUUGGCUGGAAUAUUCUCCAUCAGCAAUGAAUUUUUGAAUUUUGUAGAAUAUAUAUCCCUUAUCGCAUGACCUUAAAAUAAUUGAGAAAUAAUCAAUUCUCAUGAAUUGAAAUUAAAAAAAAAAACAUAAUAACUGAGUUAUUAGUUCCCGAUAAAAUAACUACAAAAUUUUUAAAAUAGAAUUACAUAUUUUUAAGUAAUGAUAUAUGUUUCUUUAUGUAUUCACCAAAAAAAACUUUUUGUUUCCAAUUUAGAAAACAGGUUUAAGAUGUAGUUAAAACUCAAAAUCAACUUGACGUUUUGAUAUCAGAAUUUCAAAAACCUUUGUUUCCUAACGAUUUUCAAAAAAAAUUUCUUGUGUUUGAAGAGUUAUAUUUUCCACAUGCAAUAAGAAAUCAUUUUAUUAUAUACGACACUAAAAAGUAUAAUUCAAAAGAUUUUUGAAAUACCUCAAAGGUUUAAACUAUAAUUGUUUCGAAAAUAUGCUAACCAAUGGAGAAAAAACAAAAAACAUACCUGGAAUUAUAAGAAGAGCAACACACAGAAAUGUAAAAAAUAAGUAUUUGUGUGAAGAAGCCAUUUUCCUUCAGUUUUCAACAAUGUUAAUGUGUAGUUGAUUUCUCUUCAAAUGGUAUAUAUAGAAAAAAAAUAUACAAUAAACAUAAUUUUUUAUUAUCUUUUUGUAUAAUUAGUCAAUGUAAACAUGACAUAUGGAAGCCAAUAAAUACAACAUUGAUAUAUAUAUAUACAAAAUUAGAUAAUAUACAUUAUAUACUAUAUUUAAAUUAAGGAUAGCUUUUAUGAUAUAAAUAACUAAACAAAAAAACAACUAGACAAAGUUGUUCAAAACUGUCAAAAAAUAAAAACAAAAAGUUUAGUACAAUAAGUUCACCAACCUAAUUUAAUAACAUAUAAACAUUUUACACUUUUCGACAAAUUACUUUUCUUAUUUUUUUUUGACAAGCGGAGCAGCACCCCAUCCUUUGAGAUUUGUGAAACGUCUUCUAUGUAUAUAUUCAACAAAAAUCAAUGAAACGCAUGCAUGGAUUUUUUUUAAAACUUAAAAUAAAAUUAACAGAAAAAAUAGAGUUGGGACAAAAAUAUUAUUGGGCAACGCUGAGCAGAACAAAUGUUUUAAGUACACAAAGAAUAUCAAAAGCAUUGGUCGGCUUUAAUUAGGUCCAAAGAUGUACAGUUUUUUUUAGAUCGCGAUGAAUCUACUCACAAGAACCACAAUUUGUAUUAGUAAGUCCAAACCGCUCUGCUAAAUUCUGUGAACCAAACGAGUGGGCCACCGGUCCAGUUACAAAUUUGCUUACAAACAAAUUUGAAAACUGCUUAAGUGCUUUUUUUUUUUUUUCUACUACCUAACUAUUACAUCACUGUUGGUCGGGCUGAGGGCAGUUUUCGGGGUCGUUCUCAACCGAUUCGGUAUGAUCGAUAUGGGUGAAUAUUUGUCCUCUUACUCGGGCUCCUUUUGUAAGACUGUCCGCCCGGACAUUUUCAUUUCUCGGGAUAUGGGAGAUGACGAAAUCUGAGAAGCUUUCACGAAGGAUGCGUAGGUUUUCUAACUCAGACGAAAAAGACGGCCAAUCAGAUGGAGAUUCGGUCAUAUUCACUAGAUCAGAACAGUCGGUCAGAAAAAACACCGAUGUUAUGUGCCGUUCACUCAAACUUGACAUAGCCCACAAGAGGCAAUCCAUCUCCGCAUGGAGGGCGGAGAGGCUUCUGCGGCAUCCUUGUUGACCAUACACCUCAUUUCCUCUAACGUCCACCAGGCUCCACCCGAGUCCGCUAACAGGUCCGUGAUCGAUCCAAGAGGCAUCAAUCCGACAUGUCGGAACUCGUUGGAUCGCGGAGGUAGGUAUCUGGGGAAACGGAGGAGCUAAGGUCUCACCGGAUGCGUCCUCGUUAUCUUCUGGUUGGUUCGCGAUUCUCCAGCUCUCUGCUUCCACCUUUGCAUGGAUCAAGGUAUCUUCUGGGGAAAUUGAUUUCCCGUUAAAGAUUUUGUCGUUCCUUGCUUUCCAAAUGAACCAUAGGAUCCAAGGAUAUACAUCCUUUUGAGGAUCCAUCAUGCCUAGCUCUUUCGUUUUCCAAAAAAGAAAGCUCAUAUUUUGAUAAAUAGAGGUACUCGGGAAGAGGCCCGGAAGGGACAGGUAGUCCGAUAACGCCCAGACUUGAAGUGCCAGGGGACAUAAAAAUAAAAGGUGAUUUAUAGAUUCCUCGGGAUCUACACAUCGGGGGCAGCUUGUUUCAGAUCCCAGGUGCUGGUAUGCUAAAUUCUGGCAGGUAGCCACACAUCCUGAUAAUGCUUGCCAUAUGAAGUGUUUCAUUUUUCCGGGUGAGCGGGUUUUCCAAACCUGACUUUGCAGUACCGUAAUGCUCGGUUCCCUUAUUAUUCUAGGUUCCUGUUGUAACUUUGUCCUUCUUAUUAGGUCAUAGCCCGUCUUAACCGAAUAGAUUCCUGAUUUGGAAUGGUUCCAUGCAUAUCCAUCCAAGGUACGGUUCCGGCUAGGUCUCAACCCUAGGAUAAGGGAGACAUCUUCGGGUUGGAAGAAAUUUCUCAGAAGGGGAACAUCCCACUGCUUUGUAUCUUGUUGGAUAAAGGAGUAAACGAGUAAUCCCGGGUCCUGGUAGCCGAUCUGUGGGGUGGCUCUCGCCGGCCGAGCUCUAGUGUCCGGGAUCCAUGGUUCGCUCCAGACCCUUGUAUUUAGACCCGACCCUAUCGUCUUCUGCAAUCCCAUCAUUAGGUAUGGUUUUGCAGCUAAAAUACUCCUCCACCCAUAAGACGGGGAGUAGACUCUACGAUCUUCCAACGGGUCAGAUUGUCUAUAGUAUCGUCCUCGUAAGACCCUAGCCAGCAGAGAUGAAGGGUACUGGAUAAGACGCCAUAGCUGUUUAGCUAGAAGAGCUAAAUUGAAAUCUUGUAGAUCCCGAAAUCCUAGGCCUCCCAUAUCUUGGGGGAUACAAAUCUUGUCCCAAGCAAUCCAGUGAAUCCCUCUAUUAUUCUGUUUCGAACUCCACCAGAAAUUAGCAAUGGCACUCCGUAACUUGUCAGUCACUCCUUGGGGUAAUAGAAAGCAUGACAUGACGUAAGUAAGGACAGCUUGGGCUACCGAUUUUAUCUGAAUUUCUUUUCCACCUUUGGAAAGAAGUCUUGCAGACCAGGAAUUUACUCGGUUACUCAGUCGAUCAUGGACGUAGGAGAAAACUUUCUUUUUUGAUCCACAAAUUUGUUCUGGGAGGCCCAGGUACAUGCCCAUGCCACCCUCUGCCGAGAUUCCGAUGGCGUCCUUGAUACCUUGCUUCAAUGUCAGGUGAACUCCAUUUCUAAACAUGAUUGAUGAUUUGCCCAGAUUAAGUUGCUGUCCCGAGGCUGAGCCAUAUGUGUUGAUGAUCCUAAAGAUCUCGGUUCCUUGUUGGAUGUCCGCUCGACAGAAGAACAAGCUAUCAUCCGCGAAUAGUAGAUGGGAAACUGGUGGGCUUGCUUGGGCAAUUUUUAGCCCAGAAAUUUGGUUUUCCUUUUCUGCUCCAUUUAGGAGUGAGAUAAGAGCCUCGGUGCAUAUGAUAAACAAAAACGGAGAGAGGGGGUCUCCUUGUCUCAAUCCUCGUGAUGGAGUGAUAUGUCCUUUUGGUUCUCCGUUUAUCAACACUUGGUAGGAUACCGAAGAAAUACAAAACAUCAGAAGCUUGACCCAUCUCUCAGAGAAGCCCAACUUGAUCACUAGGGCUUUAAUGAAGCUCCAUUCCACUCUGCCGUAUGCUUUGCUCAUAUCUGUCUUGAUAGCCAUAAAGUUUUCUCUGCACACCAAGUUAGUACGAAGUGCAUGAAAAUUUUCUUGUGCCAACAGAAUAUUGUCGGUGAUCAGCCUCCUAGCCAUGAAGGCCGAUUGAGUCUCUGAGAUUAGAUUAGGUAAUGUCUUUUUAAGUCGUUUACACAUGAGCUUUGAGAUUAUCUUAUAGCUCACGUUGCAAAGGCUAAUCGGACGGAACUCCGUCAUAGCUCUAGGCUUUUCUUUCUUAGGGAUAAGACAUAUGUUGGUCUGAUUGAGUCUAGGAUCAAAAGAUCCUGAUGUGAAGAAAUCUUUAAUUUCACAAUAUCAUGGCGGAAAUCCUGCCAGAACCUUUGGUAAAACUUGCUUGUCAUUCCAUCCGGUCCCGGGGCUUUAUCUAGAUCGAUAUCGAAGAGAGCUUCUUUAAUUUCUGCUUCUGUGGGGUCUUUGAGGAGGAUCUGGUUAGAAGAUUCUGUCACUUUCUCGGUGAUAAACCGGAGUGCAUUAUCUGGGUCUAGGGGUUGUGACGAGGUGAACAAGUCUUGGAAGUAGUGGGAAGCUACCCGUUUAAUACUUCGUGCAUUUUCAACCCAAUUCCCAUUCCUGUCCCUCAGGGCGAAGAUUCGAUUCCGACUUCUCCUUUGUUUUGUGAGCGCAUGAAAGAAAUUCGUGUUUCUGUCCCCGGCUUUGUGCCAUUGUUCGCGACUUUUCUGUUUCCAGAAGGUUUCUUCCUCGCGUAAAGCAGCACAAAGGUUCCUUCUAAUAUCUUCUACUUCUUCUAAUGUUGAGUUUUCGUCGUCUUGGGCCGCAUCCAAUUGGUUUUUAAGUUCCUCAAUCAUCUUCUCUGAAUUUGAUGAUUGGGACUUUUUCCACUUAGAGAUACUCGUACGACAAUUAGCUACUUUGCGAUGGAAAUCCCGACGAGUGAUUCCAUCCAAAGAGCUCCAGCCGGAGAUUACCGUCUCUUUGAAACCUGGUUUUCCCAGCCAUCUUUUAUCAAAUCUAAAUGAUUUCUUCCUCCGGCGAUUAUCCACUUGAAUUAUGGCCAUAACGGGACGAUGGUCUGAACCCCAUAAUUUAAGGUAUUCCACCGAGGUGUGGGGGAAGAUAGAUUGCCAUUCUUCAUUCCCCACGGCUCUAUCGAGACGACAUUUGACUUUUCCGUUACGUCUUCUUCCGACCCAAGAGAAAGAAUUUCCUUUAUACGGAAAUUCGAGCAUCCCACAAUUAUCUAACAUGGUUCGGAAAGGGAUAAAAGAGUAUUCUAGUCUCCUGCGUCCUCCCCGUUUCUCAUGGUUUCCGUAGAUUUCAUUGAAAUCUCCAAUAAUAAACCAGACUUCUUUUCUAGAGAGGCUCAUUCGAGUGAGACGUUCCCAUACAUAUUCUCGGUUUUUAAUGACCGGAUCUCCAUAAACGAACGUCAAAAAGAUUUUAUGUCCGUCUAGACUAGUUUCUACAUCAAUAAGAUGUUCAUCCGAAUAGGAGAUAGUAACUGAAGGUUCAUCCAUAUAAAAAAGGGUUAGACCGCCACUUCGAUCUCUCGGUUCAACAGUGAAAACAUGAUCAUAUCCAAAAUGAACUUGCAUGUCUUGCAGAAAGUAACGCUUAUUUUUGGUCUCCGACAAAAAUAGAAAUUUCGGUUGAAAACAUUUGUAAAGUUCUUCCAAAUGAUCUUUUGUCAAAUCCGAACCAGCUCCUUGACAAUUCCACCCGAUGUCGUUCAUUUGCAAUAUGAUUUUAAAUUAUCAGAUCCAUACAAGCCCAAUGGCUAACAUUAAAAUCUUGGGUUUAGCCCAGAAUUGAAAUUAGACCCGCUAAUUUGCUUGCCCAGUAAACAAUAACUAUUAGGUCAAAAACAAAAGAUCACCGUCGCCGCUGAAGUGUCUCCGAUGAACAGUAACCACCGCCGCCGUUGUUGUCUGAAAGAUGGUGAACUCUGUAGAUCUGACGUUUUAGAAGCUAUCUUGAGCUUUGCCGUCGUCGAAGGAGAACCACGAAGACACCAUUGGAGAUAUUAGAUAGAUCUCAAAGCUUCCCACGACAAAAAAUUUGAAAAUUAUGUAACAGAUGAAAGUCUUAGCACUAGGCUAGAUGCAGAAAAACUCGCUUUUAGCGGAAGGGGAUUCAGUUCUUCAAAGAUCGUAGCUUGGACUUGGGAAGAGCAUCGACGGUGAGACCAUGAGGAAAAAUACGGAUCUGAGGAGAGAAGCAAAAGAACAGCAAUUUCAAAGAGAAUAGGGGUUGCGCAGUAAAAGCGCCAAUCUUCGUCUUCACAAGAGAGUAAGAUCUGUCCCACAUCAGGUCCAGAUCUUCAAAGGAAGGAGGAGCAGCACAGAUCUUCAAAGGAAGGAGGGGAACUCAGAUCUUCGUCUUCAACAAGUAAAAACACCGCAAACCUCAGCCACGCCGGAGAGAAAACCUGGAGAGCUUCGAAGUUCAAAACCAUGGUGGAAAGAAGAAACAGAGCGUGAGACUACAUCGGGAAGAGGGCCAGAGAGAAAAGGCCUCAAUAAUCUAAUUUCGUUCAAUGGCAUGACUUGCUUAAGUGCUUAUAUAUGAACUCAGAUAAAGAAAGUGGGAUAUUCUUAACAGGGUUAUCAAGGCAGAACAUGAUAUGUGGUUGUCUGUUGAUUGUUGUUGUUGGCAUAACUUGACGAGUUCUUGCUAUCACAUUUUUGUUUCGUUUAAGCUGUUCAACUUUUUUUCUCAAGCCCAAAAUUUCCAACCUCAACACAUGUCUCUAAACAUAUUUUCUGUAGCUUAUAAUUUUUAGGAGACAUUUUUUGACCCUUUAAGAAAU